rnacentral:tRNA from 1 species
GUAGCGAUGACCGAGCUUGGCUAAGGAAGCAGUCUGCAAAACUGCUAACCCCGAAAGGGACGUGGGUUCAAAUCCCACUCGCUACU